CGCGGGAAGCAGACUGAAGCCUUCNGNCGGACGUCUGUGGAACGAGCGGCGGAUGGGUGAGUAACACGUGGGCAACCUGCCUGUAAGCUCGGGAUAACUAGCGGAAACGCUAGCUAAUACCGAAUAACGCUGCGCACCGCAUGGCGCGCAGAUGAAAGGCGGCGCAAGCUGCCACUUACAGAUGGGCCCGCGGCGCAUUAGCUAGUUGGUGGGGUAACGGCCUACCAAGGCGACGAUGCGUAGCCGACCUGAGAGGGUGAUCGGCCACACUGGGACUGAGACACGGCCCAGACUCCUACGGGAGGCAGCAGUAGGGAAUAUUCCGCAAUGGGCGAAAGCCUGACGGAGCGACGCCGCGUGAGCGAUGAAGGUCUUCGGAUCGUAAAGCUCUGUUGUUAGGGAAGAACAAGUACCGGAGUAACUGCCGGUACCUUGACGGUACCUAACCAGAAAGCCCCGGCUAACUACGUGCCAGCAGCCGCGGUAAUACGUAGGGGGCGAGCGUUGUCCGGAAUUAUUGGGCGUAAAGGGCGCGUAGGCGGUCUCUUAAGU
rnacentral:rRNA from 2 species